rnacentral:misc_RNA from 1 species
CGCAGCCGCGGUAAUUCCAGCUCCAAUAGCGUAUAUUAAAGUUGUUGCAGUUAAAAGCUCGUAGUUGAAUUUCGGGAUCAAUUUAUUGGUCGUGCAAUAGUACGUACUGGUAUUAUUGGUUCCUACCUUCUGAUGAACCAUGAUGUCAUUAAUUUGGUGUUAUGGGGAAUCAGGACUGUUACUUUGAAAAAUUAGAGUGUUUAAAGCAGGCUCACGCUUGAAUACAUUAGCAUGGAAUAAUGAAAUAGGACGUUUGAUUCUAUUUUGUUGGUUUCUAGGAUCGACGUAAUGAUUAAUAGGGAUAGUUGGGGGGCAUUAGUAUUCAAUUGUCAGAGGUGGAAUUCUUGGAUUUAUUGAAGACUAACUACUGCGAAA